GAUGAACGCUAGCGGGAGGCUUAACACAUGCAAGUCGAGCGGCAAGGCAGCAAUGCCCUAGAGCGGCGCACGGGUGAGUAACGCGUAUGCAACCUACCUUUUACAGGGGGAUAGCCCGGAGAAAUUCGGAUUAAUACCCCAUGGCACUAUGAUGUCGCAUGGCAUUAUGGUUAAAGAUUUAUCGGUAAGAGAUGGGCAUGCGUGACAUUAGAUUGUUGGCGGGGUAACGGCCCACCAAGUCAGCGAUGUCUAGGGGUUCUGAGAGGAUGAUACCCCACACUGGUACUGAGACACGGAACAGACUCCUACGGGAGGCAGCAGUGAGGAAUAUUGGUCAAUGGGCGCAAGCCUGAACCAGCCAUCCCGCGUGAAGGAUGAAUGUACUAUGUAUUGUAAACUUCUUUUCUGCAAAGAGAAAUUGCCCUACGUGUAGGGUAUUGACGGUAUUGCAGGAAUAAGCAUCGGCUAACUCCGUGCCAGCCGCCGCCGUAAUAC
rnacentral:rRNA from 1 species